rnacentral:lncRNA from 1 species
UAGGCAAUGGGCCGAGCAGCCCAUUACAUGGUCCGACCCAGCAUGAAAUGGGCCAUGCCUGGCACGACCCAUUAGCUACAGUAACGGGCCGUGCCAGACAUGGCUUGUUAGAAGGGAUCGGGCUGGGCUGUGGUUUUGCGGCUCGCGACUCAGGCCCAACAUAGCCUGCGAGCUAGGCACCACACGACCCAUGCCAGGCACGGCCC